rnacentral:rRNA from 1 species
AGAGCGAACGCUGGCGGCAGGCUUAACACAUGCAAGUCGAGCGGGCGUAGCAAUACGUCAGCGGCAGACGGGUGAGUAACGCGUGGGAACGUACCUUUUGGUUCGGAACAACCCAGGGAAACUUGGGCUAAUACCGGAUAAGCCCUUACGGGGAAAGAUUUAUCGCCGAAAGAUCGGCCCGCGUCUGAUUAGCUAGUUGGUGAGGUAAUGGCUCACCAAGGCGACGAUCAGUAGCUGGUCUGAGAGGAUGAUCAGCCACAUUGGGACUGAGACACGGCCCAAAACUCCUACGGGAGGCAGCAGUGGGGAAUAUUGGACAAUGGGCGCAAGCCUGAAUCCAGCCAUGCCGCGUGAGUGAUGAAGGCCCUAGGGUUGUAAAGCUCUUUUGUGCGGGAAGAUAAUGACGGUACCGCAAGAAUAAGCCCCGGCUAACUUCGCGCCAGCAGCCGC